rnacentral:rRNA from 1 species
GAGUCUAACUGGGCGUAAGUUGCAGGGUAUAGACCCGAAACCCGGUGAUCUAGCCAUGGGCAGGUUGAAGGUUGGGUAACACUAACUGGAGGACCGAACGACUAAUGUUGAAAAAUUAGCGGAUGACUUGUGGCUGGGGGUGAAAGGCCAAUCAAACCGGGAGAUAGGCUGGUUCUCCCCGAAAGCUAUUUAGGUAGCGCCUCGUGAACUCAUCUUCGGGGGUAGAGCACUGUUUCGGCUAGGGGGUCAUCCCGACUUACCAACC